AAUGGAUUUAGGGCUGUGCAGAAUGUGCUUUGUUAAACAAGUGCUUGAAGGCAGUAUGCUUGGUAAAAGUCAUCGCCAUUCUCUAAUCUUGAGUACCCAGGGACACGAUACACUGCGGAAGGCUGCAGGGACCUCUGCCCAGGAAAGCCAGGAGCCAGAAAAACUUCAUCUCUUUUACAAGAAACAUUGAGAUUCCUGUAAAAUUAAGAAAUCACACAAUUUGAUGGUCUACAUUAUCUAAAGCAAAUGAGACUUCUAUUUGGAACAAAGACUACCUUGUUGGGAAAUGAGUCUGCAAGUUAAAGUGUUUUCUGGACAUGAUGCUGACUUUGAAGAUGCAAGCUUCCACAUCUACAGCCUCAAGGAAACAAAUUCAGCCAACCAACUGAGGGAGCUUUCCUUGUCCUGCCUCAAGAUGAGAUCACAGUCUGCCCAACACCAUGAUUUAGGCCUUGUGACACCUGGUAUGGAAGACCCAGUUAAGUUCUCUCCAAACUCUUGACCCACAGAACCUGUGAGAAAAUAUAUGGAUAUUAUUUUAAACUGCUAAAUUUGUAGUAAUUUGUUAUGCAGCAAUAAAAAAAACUAAUGCAAGGAGAUAUCAA
rnacentral:lncRNA from 1 species